CUGGUAGUCCACGCCGUAAACGAUGUCUACUUGGAGGUUGUGGCCUUGAGCCGUGGCUUUCGGAGCUAACCGCGUUAAGUAGACCCGCCUGGGGAGUACGGUCGCAAGAUUAAAACUCAAAUGAAUUGACGGGGGCCCGCACAAGCGGUGGAGCAUGUGGUUUAAUUCGAUGCAACGCGAAGAACCUUACCUACUCUUGACAUCCAGAGAACUUUCCAGAGAUGGAUUGGUGCCUUCGGGAACUCUGAGACAGGUGCUGCAUGGCUGUCGUCAGCUCGUGUUGUGAAAUGUUGGGUUAAGUCCCGCAACGAGCGCAACCCUUAUCCUUGUUUGCCAGCACUUCGGGUGGGAACUCCAGGGAGACUGCCGGUGAUAAACCGGAGGAAGGUGGGGACGACGUCAAGUCAUCAUGGCCCUUACGAGUAGGGCUACACACGUGCUACAAUGGCGCAUACAGAGGGCNGCCAACUUGCGAGAGUGAGCGAAUCCCAAAAAGUGCGUCGUAGUCCGGAUUGGAGUCUGCAACUCGACUCCAUGAAGUCGGAAUCGCUAGUAAUCGUAGAUCAGAAUGCUACGGUGAAUACGUUCCCGGGCCUUGUACACACCGCCCGUCACACCAUGGGAGUGGGCUGCAAAAGAAGUGGGUAGUUUAACCUUCGGGAGGACGCUCACCACU
rnacentral:rRNA from 1 species